UACAGAGGGUGCGAGCGUUAAUCGGAAUUACUGGGCGUAAAGCGCGCGUAGGCGGCUUUUCAAGUCGAUUGUGAAAUCCCCGGGCUUAACCUGGGAACUGCAGUCGAGACUGUCUGGCUAGAGUAUGGGAGAGGGAAGUGGAAUUUCAGGUGUAGCGGUGAAAUGCGUAGAUAUCUGAAGGAACAUCAGUGGCGAAAGCGACUUCCUGGACCAAUACUGACGCUCAUGUGCGAAAGCGUGGGGAGCAAACAGG
rnacentral:rRNA from 1 species